GUCGACGGUAACAGGAAGCAGCUUGCUGCUUCGCUGACGAGUGGCGGACGGGUGAGUAAUGUCUGGGAAACUGCCCGAUGGAGGGGGAUAACUACUGGAAACGGUAGCUAAUACCGCAUAAUGUCGCAAGACCAAAGAGGGGGACCUUCGGGCCUCUUGCCAUCGGAUGUGCCCAGAUGGGAUUAGCUUGUUGGUGAGGUAACGGCUCACCAAGGCGACGAUCCCUAGCUGGUCUGAGAGGAUGACCAGCCACACUGGAACUGAAACACGGUCCAGACUCCUACGGGAGGCAGCAGUGGGGAAUAUUGCACAAUGGGCGCAAGCCUGAUGCAGCCAUGCCGCGUGUAUGAAGAAGGCCUUCGGGUUGUAAAGUACUUUCAGCGGGGAGGAAGGGGUUAAGGUUAAUAACCUUAGCCAUUGACGUUACCCGCAGAAGAAGCACCGGCUAACUCCGUGCCAGCAGCCGCGGUAAUACCGAGGGUGCAAGCGUUAAUCGGAAUUACUGGGCGUAAAGCGCACGCAGGCGGUCUGUCAAGUCGGAUGUGAAAUCCCCGGGCUCAACCUGGGAACUGCAUUCCAAACUGGCAGGCUUGAGUCUCGUAGAGGGGGGUAGAAUUCCAGGUGUAGCGGUGAAAUGCGUAGAGAUCUGGAGGAAUACCGGUGGCGAAGGCCGCCCCCUGGACGAAGACUGACGCUCAGGUGCGAAAGCGUGGGGAGCAAACAGGAUUAGAUACCCUGGUAGU
rnacentral:rRNA from 1 species